CCUACGGGAGGCAGCAGUGGGGAAUAUUGCACAAUGGGGGGAACCCUGAUGCAGCAACGCCGCGUGGGUGAAGAAGUACUUCGGUAUGUAAAGCCCUGUCGGCUGGGACGAAAAUGACGGUAGCUGACCAAGAAGCCCCGGCUAACUACGUGCCAGCAGCCGCGGUAAUACGUAGGGGGCAAGCGUUGUCCGGAUUUACUGGGUGUAAAGGGAGCGUAGACGGCAAGGCAAGUCUGGAGUGAAAGCCCGUGGCUCAACCACGGGACUGCCUUGGAAACUGUGUUGCUGGAGUGAAGGAGGGGUAAGCGGAAUUCCUAGUGUAGAGGUGAAAUGCGUAGAUAUUAGGAGGAACACCGGUGGCGAAGGCGACUUACUGGACUGUAACUGACGUUGAGGCUCGAAGGCGUGGGGAGCAAACAGGAUUAGAUACCCUUGUAGUC
rnacentral:rRNA from 1 species